GAGUUUGUCGGUUGGUCGGGCUUCACUGUCCGCACUGGCCUGAUGGAUUCCUACCUUCUGAAUAACCAUCAUGCUAUUAAGUUAGUGCGUUGGGGAAGCAGAGCUAUUACCUUGAAAAAAUUAGAGUGCUUAAAGCAGGCUUUUGCUUGAAUAGAUUAGCAUGGAAUAAUAAAAUAGGACUUUUGGUUUUAUUUUGUUGGUUUCCAGGAUCACCGUA
rnacentral:rRNA from 1 species